GACAGAGGGUGCAAGCGUUGUUCGGAAUCAUUGGGCGUAAAGGGCGCGUAGGCGGCUUAUUAAGUCGGAUGUGAAAUCCCAGGGCUCAACCGUGGAAGUGCAUCCGAAACUGGUAAGCUCGAGUCUCGGAGAGGGUGGUGGAAUUCCCAGUGUAGAGGUGAAAUUCGUAGAUAUUGGGAGGAACACCGGUGGCGAAGGCGACCGCCUGGACGAAGACUGACGCUGAGGCGCGAGAGCGUGGGGAGCAAACAGG
rnacentral:rRNA from 1 species